AAUAGAUACCCUGGUAGUCCACGCCGUAAACGAUGAGUGCUAAGUGUUAGAGGGUUUCCGCCCUUUAGUGCUGCAGCUAACGCAUUAAGCACUCCGCCUGGGGAGUACGGUCGCAAGACUGAAACUCAAAGGAAUUGACGGGGGCCCGCACAAGCGGUGGAGCAUGUGGUUUAAUUCGAAGCAACGCGAAGAACCUUACCAGGCCUUGACAUCCUCUGACAACUCUAGAGAUAGAGCGUUCCCCUUCGGGGGACAGAGUGACAGGUGGUGCAUGGUUGUCGUCAGCUCGUGUCGUGAGAUGUUGGGUUAAGUCCCGCAACGAGCGCAACCCUUGAUCUUAGUUGCCAGCAUUUAGUUGGGCACUCUAAGGUGACUGCCGGUGACAAACCGGAGGAAGGUGGGGAUGACGUCAAAUCAUCAUGCCCCUUAUGACCUGGGCUACACACGUGCUACAAUGGAUGGUACAAAGGGCUGCAAGACCGCGAGGUCAAGCCAAUCCCAUAAAACCAUUCUCAGUUCGGAUUGUAGG
rnacentral:rRNA from 1 species